AUGUAACAGAAGCAGUUACACAAGUACAAACCCACAAGAACAACACCACAGGCACCACAUGAAUUUUUCUCUCCAUCGUAUAGAUUAGUGUUUGGUUUUGAGGGGCUUGGGUUUAAUGUAAUAAAGAUAAUGGAUGGAACUUGGAAGUGUUAUGUGGUGGUGGGUUUGUUAGAGAGAGUUGAAGUGGUUAAUGCAAUUCAAUGGCAACUGAAUUCAAUUUAUAUAUAAAGCAUUUGGAUUUUGGAGGGAUCAAAGAGGGUGGAGUGUGAGUGGACCCAUUUACCCUUUUUCUUUUUGUCAUUCUCAUAACUAGUGGGGACUCUCUCUCACUCACUUCACCUUAUUCUCAACACGGAACCAUUAACAUUUAAGCAUUCUAUGCCUUCUGCUUUGGGUCAUCACAAAUAAUGUAUGUAUCUUC
rnacentral:lncRNA from 1 species